CUGCUUGUACGUACUCUCUCUAGGUCAGAUAAAUAAAAUCUUAACGUGUUUAAGGGUGAAGCCAGAGGCUGUUGGCAUCUGCUGAGAAAAAUCACACUUGGGCGCACGAGACCCCGGCUUCAGGCUAAGCUUUACUACCAGCUGACUAACUGUAAGGGAACAGCUUUAGCGGGUCGGAUCUUUCUAGCCACGCUUCCUGCUUGACAGCACCCAACAGCAAGCAGGAAGGAAGACACUGGUGAGGACAGGUUAGCAGCAGGGUCUCAGGCCCCGAGGUUUCUCGUAAACUCGGCUCUCCACAUUCAGUGCAAGAGGCUGCUCAGACGCCAAGCGGAGCUUUCCCAGGUCAGGCCCUCGAGGGUCCUGCCCCUCAGAACAGCCUGGGGGCCAGCAGCCUGGGCGUCGGCUGGGAUCCCAGAUGCAGAGCCUGGGCUGAAGCAAAACGCGCAUCUCAGCAAGAAAGCCGGCGCACACGUACCUGGGAGACCAGGGAAACUGAGGCUGGCAGCUCCCCUUCGUGUCAUAGCCGUGCCACAGGCCAGAGGGACCAGGUUCGGUGUGUGGCCGCUGCCUUAGCCCCAGAGCAGCCACCAGCAGCAGCGCCACGCAACCAUCCCAGAGCCUGGCUGAGAUCCCUGCCAUCGGACACACCAGGGCAAUGACCCACCCCACCCUCAGCUCCAGCCCACAGGUGCCAGAGCUCACCAGCCUGGAAAGGGCGCCAGCUCCCUCCGCUCCACCACCAGAGACCUUGGAAAACUCACUUACCUGCUCGCUGACUCCAUUUUCUCAUUUGUGUAAUGGGGCCAGUAACAGCACCUAACCUGUAGGCUUGCUGCGGAGAGCAAAUACGAGGACCCACAGACGCAGGGAGAGCAGAGCCUGCCUGGCGUGGACACAAGAGCAAAAGAAUCCACGGUUGUUUCCAUGGCUGAGGAAAGAGGGUCAGAUCAGAGCGACCUGACUUGCAGGUCUUGGCUUCCCACGUGGCCUCUUU